GUCAGAUGAACGCUGGCGGCAGGCCUAACACAUGCAAGUCGAACGGUAACAGGAAGAAGCUUGCUUCUUUGCUGACGAGUGGCGGACGGGUGAGUAAUGUCUGGGAAACUGCCUGAUGGAGGGGGAUAACUACUGGAAACGGUAGCUAAUACCGCAUAACGUCGCAAGACCAAAGAGGGGGACCUUCGGGCCUCUUGCCAUCGGAUGUGCCCAGAUGGGAUUAGCUUGUUGGUGGGGUAACGGCUCACCAAGGCGACGAUCCCUAGCUGGUCUGAGAGGAUGACCAGCCACACUGGAACUGAGACACGGUCCAGACUCCUACGGGAGGCAGCAGUGGGGAAUAUUGCACAAUGGGCGCAAGCCUGAUGCAGCCAUGCCGCGUGUAUGAAGAAGGCCUUCGGGUUGUAAAGUACUUUCAGCGGGGAGGAAGGGAGUAAAGUUAAUACCUUUGCUCAUUGACGUUACCCGCAGAAGAAGCACCGGCUAACUCCGUGCCAGCAGCCGCGGUAAUACGGAGGGUGCAAGCGUUAAUCGGAAUUACUGGGCGUAAAGCGCACGCAGGCGGUUUGUUAAGUCAGAUGUGAAAUCCCCGGGCUCAACCUGGGAACUGCAUCUGAUACUGGCAAGCUUGAGUCUCGUAGAGGGGGGUAGAAUUCCAGGUGUAGCGGUGAAAUGCGUAGAGAUCUGGAGGAAUACCGGUGGCGAAGGCGGCCCCCUGGACGAAGACUGACGCUCAGGUGCGAAAGCGUGG
rnacentral:rRNA from 1 species